AUGAACGCUAGCUACAGGCUUAACACAUGCAAGUCGAGGGGCAGCAUGAACUUAGCUUGCUAAGUUUGAUGGCGACCGGCGCACGGGUGAGUAACACGUAUCCAACCUGCCGAUGACUCGGGGAUAGCCUUUCGAAAGAAAGAUUAAUACCCGAUGGCAUAGUUCUUCCGCAUGGUGGAACUAUUAAAGAAUUUCGGUCAUCGAUGGGGAUGCGUUCCAUUAGGUUGUUGGCGGGGUAACGGCCCACCAAGCCUUCGAUGGAUAGGGGUUCUGAGAGGAAGGUCCCCCACAUUGGAACUGAGACACGGUCCAAACUCCUACGGGAGGCAGCAGUGAGGAAUAUUGGUCAAUGGACGAGAGUCUGAACCAGCCAAGUAGCGUGAAGGAUGACUGCCCUAUGGGUUGUAAACUUCUUUUAUACGGGAAUAAAGUGAGGCACGCGUGCCUUUUUGUAUGUACCGUAUGAAUAAGGAUCGGCUAACUCCGUGCCAGCAGCCGCGGUAAUACGGAGGAUCCGAGCGUUAUCCGGAUUUAUUGGGUUUAAAGGGAGCGUAGGCGGACGCUUAAGUCAGUUGUGAAAGUUUGCGGCUCAACCGUAAAAUUGCAGUUGAUACUGGGUGUCUUGAGUACAGUAGAGGCAGGCGGAAUUCGUGGUGUAGCGGUGAAAUGCUUAGAUAUCACGAAGAACUCCGAUUGCGAAGGCAGCCUGCUGGACUGUAACUGACGCUGAUGCUCGAAAGUGUGGGUAUCAAACAGGAUUAGAUACCCUGGUAGUCCACACAGUAAACGAUGAAUACUCGCUGUUUGCGAUAUACAGUAAGCGGCCAAGCGAAAGCGUUAAGUAUUCCACCUGGGGAGUACGCCGGCAACGGUGAAACUCAAAGGAAUUGACGGGGGCCCGCACAAGCAGUGGAGUAUGUGGUUUAAUUCGACGCAACGCGAAGAACCUUACCAAGGCUUGACAUAUACAGGAAUAUAUAAGAGAUUAUAUAGCUCUUCGGAGUCUGUAUACAGGUGGUGCAUGGUUGUCGUCAGCUCGUGUCGUGAGAUGUUGGGUUAAGUCCCGCAACGAGCGCAACCCUUAUGGUCAGUUACUACGCAAGAGGACUCUGGCCAGACUGCCGUUGACAAAACGGAGGAAGGUGGGGAUGACGUCAAAUCAUCAUGCCCUUUAUGACUUGGGCUACACACGUACUACAAUGGCUGUAACAGAGGGAAGCGAACCAGUGAUGGUAAGCGAAACCCGAAAAGCAGUCACAGUUCGGAUUGAAGGCUGAAACUCGCCUUCAUGAAGCCGGAAUUGCUAGUAAUGGCAGGUCAGCAUACUGCCGUGAAUACGUUCCCGGGCCUUGUACACACCGCCCGUCACACCAUGAGAGUUGGAAAUACCCGAAGCCUGUGAGCUAACCUAUGAGGCAGCAGUCGAAGGUAGAGCCAAUGAUUGGGGUG
rnacentral:rRNA from 1 species